CUGACUGCUAUCGGAUUGAUACUAAGCCAUGCGAGUCAUUGUAGUAAUACAAGGCAGACGGCUCAGUAACGCGUAGUCAACCUAACCUAUGGACGGGAAUAACCUCGGGAAACUGAGUAUAAUGCCCGAUAGAACAUUAUGCCUGGAAUGGUUUAUGUUCCAAAUGAUUUAUCGCCGUAGGAUGGGACUGCGGCCUAUCAGUUUGUUGGUGAGGUAAUGGCCCACCAAGACUAUUACAGGUACGGGCUCUGAGAGGAGUAGCCCGGAGAUGGGUACUGAGACACGGACCCAGGCCCUAUGGGGCGCAGCAGGCGAGAAAACUUUGCAAUGUGCGAAAGCACGACAAGGUUAAUCCGAGUGGUUUCUGCUAAAGGAACCUUUUGUCGGUCCUAGAAACACCGAUGAAUAAGGGGUGGGCAAGUUCUGGUGUCAGCCGCCGCGGUAAAACCAGCACCUCAAGUGGUCAGGAUGAUUAUUGGGCCUAAAGCAUCCGUAGCCGGCUCUGUUAGUUUUCGGUUAAAUCUGUACGCUCAACGUACAGGCUGCCGGGAAUACUGCAAAGCUAGGGAGUGGGAGAGGUAGACGGUACUCGGUAGGAAGGGGUAAAAUCCUUUGAUCUAUUGAUGACCACCUGUGGCGAAGGCGGUCUACCAGAACACGUCCGACGGUGAGGGAUGAAAGCUGGGGGAGCAAACCG
rnacentral:rRNA from 1 species